rnacentral:rRNA from 1 species
GACGAACGCUGGCGGCGUGCUUAACACAUGCAAGUCGAACGAUGAAGCCGGAGCUUGCUCUGGUGGAUUAGUGGCGAACGGGUGAGUAACACGUGAGUAACCUGCCCUUGACUCUGGGAUAAGCGUUGGAAACGACGUCUAAUACCGGAUACGAGCUGGGACCGCAUGGUCACUAGCUGGAAAGAACUUCGGUCAAGGAUGGACUCGCGGCCUAUCAGCUAGUUGGUGAGGUAACGGCUCACCAAGGCGACGACGGGUAGCCGGCCUGAGAGGGUGACCGGCCACACUGGGACUGAGACACGGCCCAGACUCCUACGGGAGGCAGCAGUGGGGGAUAUUGCACAAUGGGCGCAAGCCUGAUGCAGCAACGCCGCGUGAAUGAUGAAGGCCUUCGGGUCGUAAAGUUCUGUCCAAAGGGAAGAAUACAGUGACGGUACCUUUGGAGGAAGCCCCGGCUAACUACGUGCCAGCCGCCGCCGUAAAAC